GCGGUCGUGGCGGAAUGGUAUACGCGCAACGUUGAGGUCGUUGUGGAGGCAACUCCUUGGAGGUUCAAGUCCUCUCGGCCGCACCA
rnacentral:tRNA from 1 species